ACUAUUUAAUUUUUCUUUUCUCAGUUACAUUGUGUAGUUUUAAGUACCAAAAGUGACCCCACUGAGUUCCUAUCAUUUCAGUUCGGUUUCAAAACGAAACUUAAUACUUUCAUUUGUCUAAGUUUCUUAGUGUAGUUUAUACCAAGAGUGGCUGAUCUUACCGCCUUGUAAUCAUUUUUAGUUGAUUUUUAAAAUGAUUUGUGUUCUGCUUCUCACUAUAUGUUACUUCUUCUGUUUCAUAGUAUUUUGUACCAAAAGUAACUGAUGGGACACAUUCUAAUCAUUUUAAGUUGGUUUCUGACAAUGUUUACUGUUGUACUAUCCUGUUUUUUCUAUUUUCAAUUUCAUUAUAAUCUAUAUCGAGAGUAACUGAUCAAACUGAGUUUUGAUUAUUUGUUCCGUUUAUAAUGUUAAUGGUCUAUACUUCUCACUAUUUGUCUUUCCUUUUCUUUGUUACAGAGCAUAGUUAUCACUAGAAGUGGCUGAACUGACAGAGGUCUUAUCAUUUAAGUGUAGUUAUAUGCCAGGACUGACUGAUGAGACUGAGUUAUUAUUUGAGGUUUUGUUUUAUAUUGAUGUUUCAUGUUCUACUCACUUUAUUUCUUUCUCAGUUUUAUAAUAAUAUGUAUACCGGAAUUGACUAAAUAAACUUAAGUCUUAUCAUUGUACGGUUCAUACUCAGAGUGACUGAUUCAAAAGUUUUAGUCAAUUUAAACCUUUUUUGCAAUAAUGUUUCAUCUUUUACUGAUUCUCACUUUCUGUUUCUUUUCACAGAUUCAUAGUAUAGUUCAAAAUACCAGUUGUGACUGAUCUGACUGAAGUCUCAUCAUACCACGUUGCUUUUUGAAUUUGUGAUCUAAUCCUUAUUUGUUUCUUCUUUUCUCUGCUGUAUAGUGUAGUUUUACUGAUCAGACUGAGUUAUCGAAUAAUUUUACUGAGGUCUUAUCAUUUGAGUUUUAUUGAAGUUUACAACUGGACUGUCUCAGUUUUUGUCACUAGUGUAUACCUCAUGUGACUGAUUGUUUUAUCCUUCAAACUUUGUUUCAAAAAUGAUGUCACUACUUAUUACUACUUUUUCACUUUCAUGAUACAGUUUAUACCAUGACCGCAUAAUCAAACUGAUCUAUCAUCAUUUGAGUUUCAUGGAUUUACCUUGAAUAACUGAUCGGACUGAGUUUUAUUCAUUUAAUUUUAUGUUAUGGUGUUAAAUAUUAGAAGCGACUGAUCAAACAGUUGUCAUUUUAGGUAGGCUUCUAAACAAUAUUUUGUGUACUUAUAACUAUUGGUUUCUUCUUUUCUCAGUUUUGUGGUGUAGUUUAUACCUAA
rnacentral:lncRNA from 1 species